AACCCAGGACAGUUCAACAAAAAAAAAUGCUUCACAUCUACUCGUGUUUUAUAAUUUAACAAACAGAGUAAAAUGAAGAAAGCACAAAACGGAGUCUUCAGAUGCUUUGGUUGUGAGCCAACAGAGAAGAUAGUGUACCAUUAUGCAAGUUGAAUCAACAAGCUCAACCUGUGAAAGUUUAUAUGUAACGAGAUUAUCUUUUCUAUUUGAACAAAAGAAGAUUAGUAUUUUUUUGUUCAAAUGAUUAUCUUUUCU
rnacentral:lncRNA from 1 species